AACACCAAAUUAUCGUACUCAGAAAACAAAACAUAUUAACGUCACAAAAUAACGUCAUAAAAUAUUAAUUUUCUUAGAUAACUCUAUAACCUUUUUUCCUUACAAUGUAAUAUUUAUUAAUUAUAUUCGAUUAGAAAAAAUUAUCUAUACGCGUAUAUAUACGUAGUCUUCCGAUGAUUCGUGUUCCGUGGUAUUCAAUUAGCAAGCAGUUUUUGCAGACAGUAAUCAAAUCGCAAUUAAAACAGCGCUCCGAGCGAGAACUGCAACGCCAGAAUUCAGGACGAUUAAAUGCUUACGAGCAGUAUCUCACGGUGAUUAACUUUUGAUCCGCAUCGAGUGUUGAUUACAGCGCAGUGAGCAUUGGUACAAAACGUUCAUAAACGGGAUAGAGCUCAAUUAUCGACAGCUUACCAUCGGAUUUCUACGUAGAAUCGAUAUUUGUUUACGUUUGAUACUUACAUCAUACGGUAACAAAUGUUAUUUCAGAGAAAGGGAAAAUUGGCCAACUUGUCGAAACAAUAUUCUGGAUUUUCCAAAUGUGAAUGGUUUCAGAUAACAGAGCGGGAAUAUCUCGUGAUGAAAUAAUCGAGUAACGCAAUAUCGUAGUAAUGCAAAAUAAAUUCGGAUCAUUUCGAUUGAUAUUCUUCAGCGCAUGUACAAUGACUCACAUGUUUAUUCUGAAUUAGAAAAAGUAAUAGAAGAGUCAUCCAAUGUAACGAUUAAAUUAGAUAAUAUUCGUAUUUGUAAAUAUGAGAUAGAUAUAUAAGAGAUAUAUUGGUAUUUGAACUGAUAUUUGUGAAUUUAUUGAUUUAUUUUCCUUCUUCAUUCUUAAAAAUUAUUAUUAAUUUUAUGUAUAUUUUACACAUAAAAAAUACUUGUUUCAUUUUUAUAAGUUUUUUUCAAACCUGAAAAAAAUUCAAGGCUAAUAUUAAAUUACCUGGCAAAUUAUACGAAACCAAAGAUAGAUCGAUUCUGCUAUUAUUAAAUAUAAAAUACAAUGAUCAUUAUCAAUGAGUAAUACAAGGCUAAAUAUGAUACAAGAAAAUUAUUGUGGCAAAAAAAAAACUUAUUCGAAUUGCCAAUAUUAUCCGAUUACAAUUCACAUUUUUAUCACGAAAAAGAUAAAUAAGUAAUUAGUAAUGUUGUAUAAUUCCAAUAUAUUUCAGAAUUCACUAUCAUUUUAAACAAGCUUUCUUUCAUCGAGAUUUAAUCAUUUAUAUAUUUUCCCCCUGAUUUCCUAUUUUCGUCGUCUUAAUUGGUUUUCAUAAAAGCAUUUCAUAAUUGCAUUUUGUUCAUGUGUAAUAUAUAUUUCAUAGCAUGGUCCACGGUUAUGAGAAUAUAUUCAGAAAAAGAUUGUGCCGUUAUUUCAGAAUAAUCCGAUUGUUUUUCCCUUAAUUUCAGGUGGCACGGUACGAGCCGAUUAAAUAGAACGAUUUGAUACAUGUCAAAUACGAUAAAAAAAAUAUACAUAUACAUAUAUAUAUAUAUUAUUCCAGAUCCGUUUAAUUUUCUGGACCAAGCUAGUCGUCAACGUCCACCCCUAUUUCUAUUUAACUUUUAUAGCCACUUAACCGCGAAAACCUAUAAGCGACGGAGUAAUUUUCCAUUUGUUUCGGACAACCAAUUGAUGAGUCCCAGAUUCUUCUUUGUGGUCCAUUCUUUUAUCUCGUACACUGGCCAGAAAUUCAUCGUAUCGCAUUGAUUGCGGAAAAAAACUUUGUGACGAGACCAUGAUCUGUUUAAAGAGACGAAUCGUUUUCCUCUCGUCUCACAUUUGAAAUCAGUUAUAUAGUGACUGUUUAUAUAAUUAAAUUAAAUUAUCUUUAUUGCAAUUGUUCAAUAAAAUCUAUUCAGAAUAAAAUCUAUUCCACUUUAGAUAAUUAAAAAUAAAUAAUUGAAGAUAAAAAUGAAUAUCGUAAAAUGGAUAUAAGCAAUUUCGAAAUUUAAAAUUGAUUAAAUGUUAACAUAUUCAAAACAUAUCAAAAAUCUUUCGAAAUAUUAUUUACAUCGAUGCAGAAAUUAUAUUGCAUAAUUUAUUGAGUGAAUACAUUAAACUUGUUUGAAUAUAUAAUUAUUUUCGUGCGUAUUUUUAAGAUUUUUUUAGAAUCGAAUAUUUUAUGCAACAUUAUCUACGUCAUCUCAUCAAGGUUACAGGACAACGAACCAUAGUCAGUAUAUUUGUAUAGUGAUGCAAUAAAUCUUUCAUUGAACGAUGUUAAACGAUAUUUAAAAUCAUUCAAUAAUUUUAUUUCGUACAAUGGGCAUCGAUUUCACUCGAUUCGAUUGCGAAAAGUCAAUUUAUCAUAAUAUCACACGUGUGUGAUACACAUAGCAGAUUUACAAUUCCGUGAAAAAUUAUUUGGUUCACGUUUGACAUGACAUUGAUCACUUGUUGUUACAUCAUCAAUUUUAGUUUCACCUAUACAAUACCCUACACGUGAACGUAUUGUUCAUUAUACCUAAUGAUUUCUCGAAAUCGCGAGCUGCGUUCUGAUUCAGUGAAUCGAUCAGAAUUUCACGAUGCAAUUAUGGCAUUGAUUGCAAUUUUGCAGAAAAGAUAGGAAAUAUAUUUUCUCUGUGUAACGUGAGACACAGUCCUUGGAAAUCCCCAACAGCCAACACGUAUUCUUGACGUCAGAGUCUGUCACGUCUUGACACGUCAUCUCGAGAUUUUCAAGGGGAAUAUAAUUAUAUAGAGAUCAAACUGGUUAUCAAGAUGUUUAAGAAACUUUUUAUUAACUUCAAAUUCGUGGCCGAUUAUAACUUUAACGUGGCUUUUAAAAAUUCGUAAACAAUUGUUGAAAUAAUAUUUCUUUUUUUUUUUUUUUUUGAUAAGCAUAUUUUUCGGUCACGUUAACGUGUUUUAUACUAAUUUUUCGAUAAUACAUUUUUUGCAUAUUAUCACUUGGUAACAAACGUAAAUAUUGAACGAUGUAAUAAAAUUUAUGAUAAGCGUAUCUAUUUAUGAGGAAAUUAUUUAAAUUUCCUUUUAUAAUUUCCAAAUAGAUUAUUAUAAGAAUUUAAUAAGUGACGCUAAAAAUAGAUAAUUUAAUAAAAACUUUCCUUUAAUGCUUCUAAUUGAAUUAAUACGAAAUUGAUUGAUCAACUGCGGAUCAAAAAAGCUAAUCUUAUUUCUAUUUUUAGAAACCAUAUAUAAAUUGGCUUCGAUAGAAUCGACCAGUAUGUGCUUAUCAUCCCUUUAUAAAUACAAUAACGUUUAAUCGAACCAUUCGAUCCAUUUCAUCCCUCCAAUUCUUUCAAACUUCCUAUCAACCUUCUAUCUUUAUCCAUCCUUCACCUUAAAUCGCCAACACGCUAAUGAUCCGAAACUUUUCCCCAUCGCCAAGAUAUCUGGCAUUAAAGUUCGAAAGUUGAUAAUCACUUCCUAUCUAUCGGCUGAGAAACCAAACCGAACUAACCAAAGAAAUACACACACACGCGAGAAUAUCGACACACCCAUAGCGAAAAUCCAAGGAAGAUCCAAGAAAAAAAUAUUAACAUCGACCAGAUCUCUCCAUACACUAAAAUCCCCACUAAAAUCUAAAAUCAAAACCCCGUCCAGAUAUCCCUUUCGACUUCUCAACUCUCCCAUUCCCCUUAAUCGCAUAAAUUCUCAACAACAGGGUUGUCAGAGAUUCUAUUUAUCGACGAGAGAGCCACCCUGGCAUAAAUACGUUCUUUUAUUUCCCCGAGGAGAAGGUUGGGGGAGGAAUAUCCCGGAAACCUCCAUUCGGAAACGUAGUCCUCUCACGAUCGGACCCGGCUUGGUGAUCACCGUCUGCCUCGGAUUAAUCCCUUCCCCCCUGUCACUCCCCCUCGUCCAACGGAAGCUGAUGACAUGCCUACGGCCAGACGAUGCCUCUCCAUCCUCUCCAUAACGCUCCUCCUCCUCUUCCUCCUCCUCCUCCUUCUCCUCCUUUGCCUGCCACGAUCCUUAAACGUUGGCCGCCGUAGAUUAACUUUUGAUACGCGACCCGCGAGCGCCUAGUCUCCGUCUAGCUGAGCCUCGAUUCGCACGAAGCUGGGGGGGCCACGUUCCUUCCUCGCCGUCGAUCUCCUUGCGCCCCGUCGAUUAUCAAAUUUCUAUUAGCGAAGGGGAGAAUUAUUCGUUGGGGGGCUGUGCAACUUGGCAACUUGGCAAAAGGCAAUUCUGACAGCUGCAGGUAGCUGGAUAGAACAAAAGAUUGGGCACCGGUGCGCGAGCAGAGGAGGAGGGAGAAUAAACGAGGAGACAAUCCACGGAAUAGUGAACAAUUUACUAAGCAAGAAUGCGACUUGUGCUACUUAUGAUCGCAAGCUUUAAUUUUCUUUGGAUUUUGUCCGUCCAUACCUAUCCAACAAAUGGUAUGAACGUGAUCUUGAAUAAAGAUUUCUUAUACUUUCCCGACCAAGCAGAAUAUGUAAAGCUCGCCACCAAAUGUCCUGAGAAUAUGAUCCUAUGGCCAGGAACUCGUCGAUGUUACAGAGAGGGUGAACAAGGUCCCUGCAAUAUCGAUAAAGUUUUAACCUUUGAUCGGAAACUAUGGAGACCUGUUUGUUCAUAUGAAGCAAUACCGGAAUAAGUAGCAAGAUUGAUCGUAAAAUAAACUAUUACAGAUAACUGUUGUUACCAACUGGACAGAAUUCUUCAAAAGAUGGCAGCAGAUAGCCGGAAGUCUUCCAUGAGAUAUUUUGAAAGAUAUCUUAAUUUAAGGAUAUAAACUCUUUAUUAUAAUUUUAUAUUAUAAAAUGCAAAUAAUUUUUAAGGAUUGUUAGUUUUUAUUUUAUUAUUAGAAAAUUGUUCUGUGAUAUGCCGAAUUAAAUCAAUAUAUCAUUAAGUGUACGUAAAAUGUUUCUUGAAUUUAAGAAAUUUAAUAAUUUUUUACUGUAUGAUAAUUAAAUUAAAUUAGAUCAUUUAGAAAAUUAGAUAUUUAUUUAUGAAAUUCUGGCUUUACUUAAUUUCAAUUUGUUAAAGCCAGAACGUAUCAGCUCAAACCUAAGCUUUGAUUAUCGAGUUACGAGUGCUGGAAGAACUACUCAAAUCUUAAAAUUUGGGAAAAUAUGAAUCUUCUGAUUGAGACUGACUAAGAGAAUAGAUCUUAAAAUGAAUGAAAUUUGAAUUUUAAAUGAAAUGAUCAUUUUAAACUAGAGAUAUUGUUUAACUUUAAAUUUACAUAAUGAUAUUAUAAUUAUCGUUAAUUUCCAAAUAUUUAUAUAACACUAUGCCAUAUACUUUAAAUAGUUUUUAUAAUGCAUAUAACAUUCAUGUUGGAAUAUUAUUAAUUGUUAAUCAGUUUGAUUAGUUUUUAUGAUAUAAUUGAAUUAAAUUAAAUUAAAUUUUUGACUAGAACGAUAAAAAAAGAAAAUAUACUAUAGUUUAAUAUAUUUUACAUUAUAAUUUUAAAUUAUAAUAAAUAAAAUUGCAAAUAUCACAUAUGUAAAUUAUGAUUAGUAUUAAUUGCAAUUGCAUAAUUUAUAUAUCUGAUACAAUUAAUGAAACAUUAGUAUACUUAGAUUAUAUAAUUAAUUAUAAAGUAAAAGAGCAUAUUAUUUUUACAAAUUUUUUGCUAUUUAUUUUUUCUAAAACUAUAUUCUGAAGAAGAGGAAAAAAAAAAUUAAAAAAAAACUAACAAAACUAAACAACCAGAUAAAAUUACAAUCGAUUAUUUUUCAGGCAAAAGAAUUAAAUGAUAUAGAGAGAUAUAUUGGAUAACAAACAAUAGUAAUUUUUUUUUUAUUUUUUUUCUAAUCAAUUUUUAUUUAAUCCAUCAAAGUACAUCAAAAGCACGUUUCGGAUAGGUACAAAAGUGACGAAUCGAUCAAACUUUUAAUGAGAAAAUUUUAGAAUUGAUAUUCUUCCUUUUUUUUCAGUUUUCUAUAAAAUUGUGUUUAAAUUGAGAGUUAUUAAAAGUUAAUUCUUUUAUAUAAUUGACAUAAAUAGUUAAUGGAAUCCAUAUGAACAAAUUUGAAAUCCUUAUAUCUUGGCAAUGAUCGAAAUAUUAAUAAUUAUUUCCUCUAUUUUCUAAAUAUUUUAAUGACAUAUAACAUAUUUCUUUAUAUAUUAAUUAAAUAUGUGAAUACAUUUUUGCUGUAUAAAAAUCCAUGGUCUAAUCAUGAUGAUAUCAUUUUAUUAAAUAUUUUUUUAAAAAUACACCACUACUGUAUAAUAUAAAUUUAGUUAUUAUUUUUAUAAUUAAGUACAUUUUUGUAAUUAUAAUUAUGGAAAAAUUUUACACGUGUGAAUAAUUUUUCGAAUAAAAAGAUAUUCAUUA